AGUACUUCAGCCAUUUAAUGAUGCUCUCUCCACACUGGGAUAAAUAAAAACAAACACAUCACAUCUAAUGUGGACAUAUCAGAUGCCUUGUGAAACAUAAAGGAAGAAUUCAGUUUCGAGCUAUGGCACUUGCCGCAUAGAUGUGGGGGGGCCUUCCACCAAUAGUGAUAGUUACCACUGCAUUUAGAAAUUGAAAGCAUUCGUGCAGACAAGGAUGAUUCUUUAUAUUUUUGGCUACCACUUCAAAUGCCUCCACCAAGUGUUACAAUGCUGCACGCAGCCAUACUAAGGAUCUCGCAACAACACCUGCAGGUAAAAAGCAGAAGCAGUCAAAGUGCUGGUGUGUUCUGGACACUAUGUUUGAAAACUUUUAGGCAAGAAGAGUGCAAGAAGCAGACAUAACUGCAUUUAUUUCCAUAACUCCCCAUUUAAAUGGCCUUUUCUUUUUGCUUAGACAAUGCCUACGCCUAGCCACAGCAGCUCCCUCAUACAGACUCCGCAAACCAAGAGGCCGUGGAGGCAAAUGCAGGCAGCCAGCACACCUCGAACAGCCACCUUGACUGCGGGUGUGUCACCCUAGUCGCCAAGGAAACAUUUGAGGGAAAGUGACAGGCAAUGUGAACAGCCACUCCUCCAUGUAAACAAUACUCUUUCUCUCGGAUGACUCCUACGCCUCACCACGCCAGCACACUUGUGCACAAAGAUGCCGCAGAGGCACGUGCAGGUCAGAGGCAAGAAGCAGUGGCACUGGUGUCGACAUUUACCCAAUUUCUUUUUCUUACACUGAGGCAGCCAGCACACCUCGAACAGCCACCUCGACUGCGGGUGUGUUAGUUGAUCCCUGUUGUACAUAUGCUCAUAAUAAACUUCAGUAAACUUGAACUUCAUAAUAAACUUGAAGGCAAAUGGUA